UAAUAACACAAGUCAUUAAGCAGAUCCAGUGAGCUGUGGGAGGAGGGGAAAAGUUAUACGUCAUGCAAAUCUUUCCUAGAGUGGAACACAGUACAAUGAACCCAUAAAAAAUUAUCUUAGGACAGUUUACUUCAAAAGCACUACAUGUAUACUUAUAUUUAAAAAAAAACACUCAAGUUAUGAUAAACUAGGACUACUUUGGGGGUUCCUUAGUUUUCCUGGGUCAAUGGCAAUAAGCUACGUUAGGGAAUUGGAAUUCAGUGUGGGGAGUUCCUUAGUAUCACAAUAAACAUUUCCCUAAGGAAGAAAAUUAGGGGUUAGGUGUGGCUGGGGCUGGGGUACAGUACAGAUGAGGUAUCAUCUUACUUAGAGAAGCUCUGCCUUUUACUAUAUCCACGUGCUAUAGCAAGUAUGGGCUUGGGCCCCAGUGCUGCAUUCAGUAAAUCGGACAGCCAGAACAAAAAUAUCCCAUUACAACAUAGACUUAAAGCAUUUCAUGUGAACUGUUCAAAAAUAAACAAAAACAAAUGGAGAGGCUAGUGUAUAGCUCAGUGGUAGAUACAAGGCCCU